rnacentral:rRNA from 1 species
AUGGGGAAGUGGGCUCAUUCUUUAGAAACCAAAGGGGGUGCGGCAGGGAGACCCAUUUCGUCGCGUCUUUUUAACAUCUUGGUCGAUGCCCUUGCUAGAAUCCUGGACCAUGCGAAGGAGGCAGGUCAUAUCUCCGGAGUGGCUUCCGGGAUUAUCCCCAGGGGCCUGUCACAUCUGAAAUACGCGGAUGACACCCUCAUCUUUAUCAAGAAUUCGGAGCGGGAGAUAACGAACUUAAAAUUUCUAUUAAUGUGCUUUGAGGAGAUGUCGGGGCUCAAGAUAAAUUUUGAGAAAAGCGAGGCAUUUGUCACGGGAGGUGAUUUAGAAUCACAGCUGAGAGCGGCGCACAUGAUGAAUUGUGAACUAGGGUCCAUCCCAAUGAAAUACCUGGGAAUGCCUAUAUCAUCAAGAGCGUUAUCUAUGGGAGACUUCCAGCCUGUAGUGGAUACGACUGCGGCUAGGGUGGAGCCAUGGCAAGGCAAACUCCUUGCAUCGGGCAGGAGGCUAGUUCUCAUCAACGAUUGCCUCACAAACAUCCCUAUGUUCAUUAUGGGCUUCUAUCUCCUUCAUGAAGGCACUCAUGCAAAACUUGACAAGGUGCGAUCCCGCUUCUUUUGGGCGAAGGAGGAUGGGGAAAAAUACCACAUGGUCAGGUGGGAUAAGAUAUGCGAACCAAAGGAAGUUGGAGGCUUGGGGGUCAUAAACAUCAAGGUUAUGAACUGGUGCCUUAUGACUAAAUGGGCGUGGAAGAUCUUAACGGGGCAAGGGGGCCUGUGGCUUCAGAUCUUCAGGACGAAAUACCUAGACCAGGGGGGAAUAAACUUCAGAAGGAAUGUAAAACUGUCUCAAUUUGCGAUGGCUGUAAAGAAGGUCCAACCUCUCCUCCGGCUAGGGACCCAUUUCGAGGUGCAGAACGGGAAGACCACACGCUUCUGGUCAGAUAUCUGGUGCGAGGGUAGGUGA